GAAGUGGUCCAUGCCCUCAGAGAGCUCGUGGUGUCUAAUGGAGGAAUUUAUUCUUUAAUUCAUUCAUUUACCAAAUGUGUAUUAAGCACCAACUAUGUGCCAGGCCCUGUGGCCAGUACUAGGGAGACAGGGAAGAAGAAAAGCUAGCUCCAGCCAUCUUCAUAGUACCACCUCAUAGACUCAUGGUCCAUAGGGGAGACAGACUUAGGGGAAAGAAUUAUAUGCCAUGAUAAAGAGAAUCACAGGAUCCUUUAAGCGCGUGUAAACAGGGUAGGGAGAGAGUCUGAGUGGGAGGGGCAGAAGGAGGGAGCAGACUGGAAUCUGGUAUGGUGCUUACCUUCCUCCUGAAACCUGCUCCUCCAGAAUGCUCCUUCCUAGACCCUGUCCCUCACCUCCACACCCAAAAAAUCUGCCAGGGCCUCCACAUGGCUCUGUCUCUGAGGAUGCCAGGCACCCUUCCUUGGUGCCUGUUGAGUGGUGCCAGGAGGCUGCAGUGUCCCACAUGGCCACUGACUCAAGUUUCCAGGCCAUAGAGGGGUGGAGUCUCAGGAUGUGGGGCCACUAUGGCCCCGCCUCCUGAGCUCCAUCGGAAAAGCUGGACUGUGGCAUUUAAAAAAAGAACCCCUAGGAUAGGAGCAAUGAAGUUGGGCACAUUCAUAUUCACACUCCCUGCCACUCCACCGGCUCUCUGGCCACCUCAUUAUACAAGGGCUGGCCAUGAUAAGUCCCCACGCCCCAUCCCUCAGGAGAGGGGCAGCAAAGCCCCUGUCCUGGAACUCAUCCAACAAAACAGCCAUUCCAGACACCUGGAUCCACCCGGCUUGGCUCCUCUUCCACUCGGCAUCCUGGCUUGCAGAUGGGUGGGACAGGCCACCCUGCUUCCAGGUAAGGACCGCAUUGCCCAGACACCCAGGGGGCCUCCCUUGGGAACACCAGUACCCUGGCACAGAGGCAAGAAGCAGCCCCUCCAUGGCCCGCCCACCUUCAGACUGGCUCAGGGAAGGCUGAGGAUCCCUCUGCUCCUUCCGCAUGGCAGCAGGGAGUCUGAUACCACCUAUGGCUGGAGGCUGGGGGGCGGGGGAGCGCUGCUCACUGUGGGAGCUUGACUCUGGCCUCAGCUCAAGGAGCAACAGUGUGGCCAGGGCCACCAACUGAUGUCCAUCCUUGGGGAUAGCCUCUCUCUCAUGCCUCCUUGGUGUCAUCAGGAGAGCACUGCAGGGUGGCCUGCCUGGGAAUGCCAGCGUCCCUCAGCUGAACGCAGGUGCCAGUGCCACUGCCACAGGUUAACCAGCAGCAGCCUACAGUAGAUGAGGUGGCCUGGAUCCUCAGGCAGCCAUGUCCUCUGCAUUUUGCUUCAGGAUGUGGGGCCACUGUGGAAUGUAAAGAUGGAAUCUGCAUCUUUACAGAUGUGGAUGAGCCUGAUGUGUGUGUGUGUGGGGGGGGUGCAGGUGUAACCCCCUGGGUGGCUCCCGUUUGUGAGGCCAAAGCCUGGGAUCUAGGGGAAAGCUACAUGGACCUGCUUUACUCCGUGGCUCAGGCCGUUAGGGAACUGGGUCUCUCAGCUUCCUCUCUGCUACAAAGCAGCUGAAUUUUGGUGCCCUUGAGACCCCAAGCACAGGGAAAGGGGCCGCUUCUGCUGCUGGUGUCACUGUCCAUGAGUCAUCUUUGUGGAGAGAAAAAUUGAGAAUUCUCAUUGCAAAGCCAGGAGCAUGGCGCUGAGCAAAGGUGUGACCAUUGUUAUCACUUUUCUGGCCAGGCGUGCGUCGCACCCCACUCUUGAGCAGCUGGCGUCCCCCAUGGCCUCCAGGCCAGGGCUCUUGGCCCUUGAAUGGCAGGGCUGCCCACUUGUCUGAGUUUCCCACAUGCAGAAGAUGGAACAAGACCUCCCUGAGCUUUUGAACAUGGUAAGGACAAUGGCACGACCACUAGGGCCUCCAGGCAAGGGGUAGGGGCAGAGAAGGAGCGCUGACCCUGCCUUAGAGCCUGGUGGGCCCUUUUCUCCUCUCAGUUCAGUUCACUGAGCUCCAUUGUAAGGUAUUAUAAGUGUUCAAGAAAUUCUGACUCUGUUAGGCUGGACAGUAUUAAAGUAUCCUGGAAACACAAAUAAUAAUAAUAGUAAUACACCAUUUAUGAUUCACUUGAUAUGUGCACUCUGAGCUCAAUGAAUUAUGUGAAUUUUAUUAUUCAGUCCUUACAACUUUUUAAGAGAGAUGUGCUGUCAUUGUCCCCAUUUUAUAACCUAGGAGACUGAGACUCUGAGGAAUGAAGUCACUAGCCCAAGGUCACACACAGCCAGUUAAGAUUAAAACUGACACCUGUCUGUCUCCAGGGUUUGUACCAUCCAUCCCUCCUACAUAUAUCCCCUGGGGUCCUGAGCUGGUGGAGGGAGGAGCACUGGAUAGAGGGUGGGUGCCAUGCUGGCCUCCACCUUUGGUCAAGUUCAUCCUGCCUCCACACAAAUUGUUUUUCUGGUCUUGGGGCUAGUGGCCUGAUGGUGGGCAGUGAGGCCUCCAGAUAUCAUGGCAGGAAGGUGGCAGCUUGCCCAUGUUUCCAGUGGCUGAGCUCCCCUGAUGCCCAGGCUGACUCUGCCCUCCACCUUGGGCCUAGGUAGUGAUUUCCCAAACCCUGGUACCUGGCAGGCAGGCAGCCAUGAGAUUGAGGACUCACCCAUAAGAUCAGAGGUGCCUUUGAAGCCCUAACCCAAACACAAGUGGGCAGAGAACCUGCCACAGAAGUCACUUGUUGGUCCCAUGUGUCCAGGAGCUCCCCCUGGACACCACUGCCACGGGUCCCAGAGCUGCCCUGGCUUCUGCACUGUGGGAAGGCAUGGCCCUACAGAGGGGAUAGGGUGGGGACAAGGGGGAAAUAGGAUACCCAACCAGCAACCAGAGGGUUCCCUCCCCUCUCCAGAGGACAUCACAGACCUAUGGGAAUGAGAGUCACCCCUUGUCUGGAGUAGCCAGGGGGAGGGAAGGGGCUCUUUCUGGGGAUUAUUACAUUCAGUCCUUCAAGCGACACAAAGAAGGUGUCAUAAUUGCCCAUUUUACAGAAGAGGAAACCCGGCUCAAGGUCCUUCAACUGGCAUGUGGCCUUGUGGUUAACUUCUCUGCUGCACCACCUCCACAGCCCUUACUAGGUUAUGACAAGGCUGGGGUUGAAGGAAAGAGAAAGGGGGUUUCAAAUGCAGGACUUAGAGAAGAGACAGGAGUCAUUCCACUCCCACCCCCCACAUCCACAAUAAACUGUGAACUCCUAAAGCCAUGAAUGAGAUUGAUCACCACUCACAGAGUCCAGGGGAGCACCUUCCCCCACGCAAGUCCUGUGUGUGCCCAGCAAUGGCACCAGCCCUGUCCUCAGACAGGUGGCAGUAGUGAGAGGGGACAGAUACGUUACAAGGCACCUACUCUGGAGAUGCAGCAUGAGUGCUAGGUGACGUGGACGGCCAGCCAACCCAGCCUGGGAGAGGGAGAGGUCAGCAAGCUUCCUGGGGUUGGGGGGGUGGGGGAGGGAGGUGAUCCUAAAGAAAGAGUAGGAAUUAAAUUAGACAAAAGUGAUAACCAGUGGUAGAGGCAGAGCGGAGCAUUAUGAGCAGGGACCAGGAAGCCUAAGUCCUUUUGAGGCAGCUGAGAAAUGGGGGUGAGGAGGUGGGGCAAGAGGCCAGAGGAGAGGGCUGUGGGUGGUCAGGCCAGAAAUCACAGACCCUAAAGGCAGGGCUUGUGAGUUUCCAAGCCUGAGGAACCUGGAACAGCCAGACACCCUCCCACAGUCUCCCCGUGGACAUCACUGUGAACCGGACCGGGAACAUUCCAGCCUAAUCAAAGCUCAGAUCGGCAAGUUCCAGAGGCUCUAUGCACUGAGGCCAAGGCCAAUUUCCCCCCGGGAGUUUGCCUGCUCCUUGCCCAGCCAGGCUGGAGUGGGGGCUCCCAGAUCCUCUGAGAUUCCUCCAGACCCUCAGAAGGUUGGAGGCCCGAGUUUUCCCUCUCCAGAUUCUGGGGCAACUGGGUAGGGAUGGAGGGGAGUGGGGUGGAAAUGGAGUCAGAGGCCCCACCUGUAUGUAGGAGGAGCUGGAAAAUCCUGCCUGAGGAAGAGGACUUUGGAGCGAUCAGGUUCUCAGGAGGCCCCUGCUCGGGCUGAUAUUUCUAGAAAGGGCCCAAAGGCAAGAUUUCAGCCUCAACCUGAGCGCAAGCUAGCACUGCUGCCCUCCACCAGCCCAGCCCUGGCCUCCUCUCAGGGGUGACUGGAAGGGAGGACAGACACUAGGAUAUGGAAGCAACAGCCCCCAGCCCUGGAAAUGGGGUGUUGUUUGGCCAACUGGACUGCAGUCUCUGUUUUCAGUUAAUAAUUUUUAUUUCAUUGUGAAAGCUUCCAUUCUUUAAUUAACAGCAUCAUGCUUUAAAAAAAAAAGAAGAUUUUAUUUUUUUAGGUAAUCUCUACACUCAACAUGGGGCUUGAACUCACAACCCUGAGAUCAAGAGUCACAUGCUCUACUGACUGGGCCAGCCAGGCACCCCAACAGUGUCAUGCUUUUGAGGGCAACGCUUUUCCUAGGAGGGUGGCAGGGUAUAGGGACAGGUAUCUUAAGUACACUACCUAAUGUCACCAAUUUCUGCCUGAGAUUAAAAAGACAGAGAUGCCCCCUUCCUUCCCUCUUUAUACAUUGGAGAACCUCCUCUAUCUCCUCACCCCUCCCUCAGCUCACACCUUCUCCCCUCUCUCUCCCUGGCUCCCGGAACUGGUCUGUGGCAUUGGCAAAAGUUAAAUACAGAGAAUCAGUGAGAAGGAAGACAGAGAGAUUAGGCUCCCUCAGGAGAAGGGGUCCCCAUCUCACCUCACAGGUUGGCCAGGCCCUGUGCCAAGCACCUUCCAUGAUUAUCUCUCAGAAUCCCUCUAACAACCUCAGAAGACAGGGGCCGUUUUCAUCUUCAUUUUACAGGAGCUAGUCUGUGGAGAAGGAAGUUUGGUUUUGAUUUACAAGUCUCCAGAGAAAGGGAAAUUCCUUUACCUCCGCUUUUGUUGGAGCAGCCAGUUGUCACUUCCUGGAGCUGUUGCUGGUCUCUCAGAUGGCCCAC